AGGCGGCGGGAGGAGCGAGGAGGACCUCGCAGCCCGCGCUGCUCCGGGACAGCCCCAAGGACCCACCGCCCGCGCCCGCCACCCGCCGGACCCCGCGCCGCAAGGCCCGCUGCACAGGUGGACACGUGUGGCGCGGCGUGAGGGAGACAGCAUGGCUGCAGGCGUGGCUGACCACCUGCCCUUCUUCUUUGGCAACAUCACCCGGGAGGAGGCCGAGGAUUACCUGGUCCAGGGCGGCAUGAGCGACGGGCUCUACCUGCUGCGCCAGAGCCGCAAUUACCUGGGCGGCUUCGCCCUGUCGGUGGCGCACGGGCGCAAAGCGCACCACUACACCAUCGAGCGGGAGCUGAACGGGACCUACGCCAUCGCGGGCGGCAGGGCGCACCCCAGCCCAGCUGAGCUCUGCCUCUACCACUCCCAGGAGUCCGACGGCCUGGUCUGCCUCCUCAAGAAGCCCUUCCACCGGCCGCCCGGGGUGCAGCCCAAGACGGGGCCCUUCGAGGACCUGAAGGAGAACCUCAUCCGGGAGUAUGUGAAGCAGACCUGGAACCUGCAGGGCCAGGCGCUGGAGCAGGCCAUCAUCAGCCAGAAGCCGCAGCUGGAGAAGCUCAUCGCCACCACCGCCCACGAGAAGAUGCCCUGGUUCCACGGGAAGAUCUCCCGGGACGAGUCCGAGCAGAUUGUCCUGAUCGGGUCCAAGACCAACGGGAAGUUUUUGAUCAGGGCCCGGGACAACAACGGGUCCUACGCCCUGUGCCUGCUGCAUGAGGGCAGAGUGCUGCACUACCGCAUCGACAAGGACAAGACGGGGAAGCUCUCCAUCCCCGACGGGAAGAAGUUUGACACGCUCUGGCAGCUGGUCGAACAUUAUUCUUAUAAACCAGAUGGUUUGCUACGAGUCCUUACAGUUCCAUGUCAAAAAAUCGGCGGGCAAACGGGAAAUGUGAAUUUUGGAGGCCGCCCGCAGCUCCCCGGCGCCAACCCUGCGACUUGGACAGCAGGAGGAAUAAUCUCAAGGAUCAAAUCAUACUCCUUCCCCAAGCCUGGCCACAGAAAGACCUCCUCGCAGGGGACCCGGCCAGAGAGCUCCGUGACCUUUAACCCCUAUGAGCCAGAGGGAGCGCCUUGGCCCUCAGAAAGAGAAGCUCAGAGAGAAGCGCUGCCCAUGGACACGGAGGUGUACGAGAGCCCCUACGCGGACCCCGAGGAGAUCCGGCCCAAGGAGGUCUACCUGGACCGGAAGCUGCUGACCCUGGAGGACAAGGAGCUGGGCUCCGGCAACUUCGGCACCGUGAAGAAGGGCUACUACCAGAUGAAAAAAGUUGUGAAAACGGUGGCUGUGAAAAUCCUGAAAAACGAGGCCAACGACCCGGCUCUGAAAGACGAGCUGUUAGCAGAAGCCAACGUCAUGCAGCAGCUCGACAACCCGUACAUCGUGCGCAUGAUCGGGAUCUGCGAGGCCGAGUCCUGGAUGCUGGUCAUGGAGAUGGCGGAGCUGGGCCCACUCAACAAAUACUUACAGCAGAACAGACACGUCAAGGACAAGAACAUCAUUGAGCUGGUUCACCAGGUGUCCAUGGGGAUGAAGUACUUGGAGGAGUGCAAUUUCGUGCACAGAGAUCUGGCAGCAAGAAAUGUCCUGCUGGUGACUCAGCAUUACGCCAAGAUCAGUGAUUUCGGACUUUCCAAAGCUCUCCGCGCCGAUGAGAACUACUACAAGGCGCAGACGCACGGGAAGUGGCCCGUGAAGUGGUACGCCCCCGAGUGCAUCAACUACUACAAGUUCUCCAGCAAGAGCGACGUCUGGAGCUUCGGGGUGCUGAUGUGGGAGGCGUUUUCCUACGGGCAGAAGCCGUACCGGGUUAGCCUCUGCUUCCUGUGUCCUGUCCUGCGGCCUAGUCUGUCUGAACAGAUGAGCACCUGUCACCAUAGUCGUGGCCUUCCUUCUGAGGCUUCGCUGUCUUUUGACAGUCAACAGGACCUCAGUUUAUUCUGAACGGCAGGAGAAAUAUCUCAUGCUAGCUGAACAGUACAUCUUUUUUUCAUUGCAUAUUAUGCAUGUAAAUAUGCAUAAAAUGUACCCAAAUCAGCAUUAAUUAAAACUGAAAUAGGAAGUAUGGCUAUUUCAGUAUCAAAUUGGCAGCUCAUUACAGUUUGUUAGAUUUUUUUAAACCAAGGUACACAUACCAAAAAGGGCGCAGUUGCUAGGAUGCAGCUUGAUGAACCUUCACAAAUGGAACAUGCUCGGGAAAGCAGCCCCAGAUGAAAACAGACGGAACCCAACUCCCAGCCCCUGCACGCACGCCUCCCGCCAAGGGCCACCUCACUGACUUCCAGAUCUUAGCUAGGGGAUGAAAGGAAGUGAAGUGUCCGCUAUGCUGGAGAAAGGAGAGAGGAUGGGGUGCCUCCGGGGUGCCCGAGAGAGAUGUAUGAGCUGAUGACCCUGUGCUGGACCUAUAA